GAACUUGCAUGCUAAUUAAACCUGUACUACUACAGCUGAUCUGAGCCAGAUGAAAUCAAAGCCUCGAGUCUAUACACCUCAAAUUUGAAUGGCUUCAAUUCUCAUGGACUGGAUCAAUUUGAAGGCUUCAGAAACCAGCUGCAGCUCCUUGGAAGCUAUAAAAGACCUUGUGUUACCAUACUGCAGUGCUACAGCUGCGGCGAGGAGCAGGCAAACCUUUUGUGAAUGAAAGAAACCUGAGAGAGGUGAAGGCAUUAAGUACACCCAUGCGUUCUGCAUGUGCUCAGAGGACUUUGUGUAACCAUUCCACAUGUGGCCUGAAUCCCUAUACGGACAGUAAAUCAACUGCUACUUUUUGGGAAAAAGGAUAUGUUCAUAUGUAUAAAAUUGUGGCUGAAGAUCAACACAGAAAAGACGAAGAUGCGGGCUGGGGAAGAGGAACGCAUUGAAAACCAGACCGUGACUAUCACAUUCCCUGAAGAGGCUGCAUUAUAUAUUUUCUUGGAUACCUCAAUGCGAAUGUGACUUCAUGGCUGCUCUCAGACACCACAGCUGGGAAAAAGCUCUCUUAGGCAACUCUUCUAGCCUAGCCUGCCAAGAGAAUGAAUGAAAAGCUUUCUUACCACCAUAGAGAGAAGAACAACUCAGAGCCAGGUCCUCAGCAGGGGAAAGAUGAUAAGGUCCGUGAGCUUGCAGGGAAGUGGAGCGCUGGUUGCCAUCAAGGGGGGCUUCCAGGCCCAAACAGAGCAUGUCCAGCUCUGCCAGUGUCCCAGCCACCGGCAGAAGUUUGGCAAGGGCCGUGGGCCCCAAAGGAAUUGGCUUCAGUCCCAAAGCUCUUUGAGUCAGCGAUAUCUCACACCCACUGAUCCUACAACAAGAAGAUGGCAAAGAGCAGCUCCUGCCAUCUGCUGCAGAUCCAAAAGGGAUUUUAAAUACAUGAAGGUGAGAGACACUGUUUUGCCAUUUCCUUCACUCCUCCCAGUGCAUGUAAUAACAAUGUGA
ensembl:lncRNA